rnacentral:rRNA from 1 species
GACAGAGGCCCCAAGCGUUAGGCGGAAUCACUGGGCUUAAAGCGUGUGUAGGCGGAUCGUUAAGUGUCUUGUGAAAUCCCACGGCUCACCCGUGGAACUGCUGGGCAUACUGGCGAUCUUGGGCCAACUAGGGGCAGCCGGAACAAGCGGUGGAGCGGUGAAAUGCGUAGAUAUCAUUUGGAACGCCAAUGGUGAAAACAGGUAGCUGGGAGUGUGCUGACGCUGAGACACGAAAGCCAGGGGAGCAAACGGG